UUAUAUAUGGCAAACAAAAUAAUAGGUUUUGGGCUUGAAUCAAUUCGAAGGGGUGAGAAUCGGAAAGGACACUUGAAAGUGAUACGGAUUCGAAAGCAGCACAGGCACAAAAAAUGCUCGACUUGCAGGCAAAAUGCGCAACCUCUUGUGGCAAUACUAUAAGGAAGCUGAUCAACUCUUCGAUAUUGCUCGAGGCAUUGCAAAUUUUGGGGAUGGGUUUUCCAACUCAUGUGCCUUACCAUUGAUUUCGGUUUUCGAUAUCAAUGUAAAUAUACG